rnacentral:rRNA from 1 species
UACAGAGGUCUCAAGCGUUGUUCGGAUUCAUUGGGCGUAAAGGGUGCGUAGGUGGCGCCGUAAGUCAGGUGUGAAAUUCGGUAGGCUUAACUCCGAAACUGCAUUUGAUACUGCGGUGCUUGAGGACUGGAGAGGAGACUGGAAUUUACGGUGUAGCAGUGAAAUGCGUAGAUAUCGUGAGGAAGACCAGUGGCGAAGGCGGGUCUCUGGACGAUCGUGCUGAGGACGAGGAACCGGGUGGGAGAAACGGG